GAAGAACUCCAGUGCAAAGGUUCAAUGGGUAAAAACAAAACAAGUUAUUGAUAAGUGACUUGAAGCACUAAAGAAACACCAUUCCAAGUCUAGUGUGUGCUGCAAAUAUUUUAAGCAUAUAAUGCUAAUAUUACACGGAUAAGGAAGUUGAAUAUUAAACUCUUAAUGAAGUCAAUUGAAGGCUUAGACCUUAAAAGAAACUUCACCUAUGUGAACAUAAGGAGUGGUGCCGCUUCUAACAAAAACAUUUAUGAGGUUGGUUUUUGGAAAUGUUCAUGAA
rnacentral:lncRNA from 1 species